GUGUUCUGCAACGUAUUUACUUAACAGAUAGAGCGUGUAUGCUAGGAAAGCCUACAUCCUUGAAAACUGCACAGUCGUCAUGGGUGAAUUUGCCUAGACCACUUCCUAAAUCCAAAGCAUCUUUGAAAAGUCCUGCGCUGCGGAGGACAGGAAGCACCCCCUCAAUAGCCAGCACCCACAGUGAGCUGAGCACUUACAGCAACAAUUCUGGUAAUGCCGCUGUCAUCAAAUAUGAGGAGAAACCUCCAAAACCAGCAUUUCAGAAUGGUUCCUCAGGAUCCUUUUAUUUGAAGCCUUUGGUAUCCAGGGCUCAUGUUCACUUGAUGAAAACUCCUCCAAAAGGUCCUUCGAGAAAAAAUUUAUUUACAGCUCUUAAUGCAGUUGAAAAGAGCAGGCAAAAGAAUCCUCGAAGCUUAUGUAUCCAGCCACAGACAGCUCCCGAUGCGCUGCCCCCUGAGAAAACACUUGAAUUGACGCAAUAUAAAACAAAAUGUGAAAACCAAAGUGGAUUUAUCCUGCAGCUCAAGCAGCUUCUUGCCUGUGGUAAUACCAAGUUUGAGGCAUUGACAG
rnacentral:lncRNA from 1 species